rnacentral:rRNA from 1 species
AUUGAACGCUGGCGGCAUGCCUUACACAUGCAAGUCGAACGGCAGCGGACCUUCGGGUGCCGGCGAGUGGCGAACGGGUGAGUAAUAUAUCGGAACGUACCUUUCAGUGGGGGAUAACGUAGCGAAAGUUACGCUAAUACCGCAUAUUCUGUGAGCAGGAAAGCAGGGGAUCGCAAGACCUUGCGCUGAUUGAGCGGCUGAUAUCAGAUUAGCUAGUUGGUGAGGUAAAGGCUCACCAAGGCGACGAUCUGUAGCGGGUCUGAGAGGAUGAUCCGCCACACUGGAACUGAGACACGGUCCAGACUCCUACGGGAGGCAGCAGUGGGGAAUUUUGGACAAUGGGCGCAAGCCUGAUCCAGCCAUGCCGCGUGAGUGAAGAAGGCCUCGGUUGUAAG